GGCGGAGGCAAACUAUCUCACCGCACGCGGGAACUGGGAUCCAAAGCUAAGGAGACGUCAGCAGAUAAGCAAACUCAAUAGACUUUAGCCAGGGACUGCAUUCAAACCCAGACGGUGAAUGAACACGGAUCCCUCUAGGACCGAGAGGAACUUUUCCCAUGGUUACAAACAAACAUAAAUGCUUCCCAGAAUCCUCCGAGCUCCUCGUGGCUGCGGUUACUACCGAUUGCGAUUGCGGAAUGCAACAAGGUGAGAGGAAAGCCAGGUCAGAAUUCGUGAAGUCCGGCUGGGACCACACCCGCAUACACACGUGCAAUGCACCGCCCGCGCGCACAUACAUACAUAUAUACAUACACACACAUACAUACACACAUACAUACACACAUGCAUGUGCAAUACGCAGCACGCGCGUGCACAUACAUGCAUACAUACACGAACACACGCACACUCGCGAUUCUGAAGUCCCCCUACGACAAAUGACAUUCCUUUCGUCGUUGGAAUUAUAUAUAUAUAAAUUUUAAAAAAAAAAUUUUUUUUUCGAGACAGGAUUUCUCUGUGUAGCCCUGGCUGUCCUGGAACUCUGUAGCCUCAGAAAUCCGCCUGCCUCUGCCUCCCGAGUGCUGAGAUUAAAGGCGUGUACCACCACCGCCCAGCCUUUAGUCCAUUUUUUAUAUUUACUUUUACCAUGUUUAAACCUGUUUGUAAAUAUAUAUGUUGAGUGUUGGGGAAUUUCUUUUUUAAUUCACAUAAAUGUAUAACACGGAAAUGUUCUCCAAAUUAUUGUCACUAGGCAUUCAUUACUCUUUGAAGCUCUCUCGGGGUUUUAAUUUCUACAUUCCCUUAAAUACAUAGCAUCAUACUUGUUUACCUGAGACGGACAUCUGGGUCUUUGAAUUGUUUACCAGUACAUAAGAUAUAUUCUCUGCAACUCUGCCUUUCACAUGUGUGCUGGGUCACUUGCUAAAUUAGCAGUUUACAUCCUCACCAACAUAUACGCCAAGACUAGAUAUGAUCAGACUUUUACAAUUUCUGUCACUAUGAAUCGGUGUGACUAUAGUUUACAUUUCUCUGGCUGAAUUCCUUCAUGUUCAUUAGACUGUGCCCUGUUGUGACCCACCCACUCUUUCAUAAAGUGUGCUACUCGGUCCCCUUCUCCUAGUGAUGUGCAGGUAGGUCUCCACAUAGCCUACUUAAUUCAUUUUACUGAUGUAUAUGUUGCAUCUUCUCCUAGCUUAGCAUUUGUCUUUAUUUAUAGGGGUUCUGCUCUCUCUAGCUGGUGAGUGUAGUGAAUUUGUCAACCUUUUAUUAUGGGUCUGAUACUUGUAUUUUAAGAAAUCCUUGCCUAUUCUGAGGUCAUUAAGGAUUUCCUCUUCAUACUUUAUAGUUUAGUUUUCAUUAUUUCUGUUACGUGGUAUCUUGAAUAUAAUGACACUAUUGACUUUUGUACCACACUCUUGUGCCCAAAACCCUUGCUGAAUUCGGUUACUGUUACACUUGGCCUGUGUGCUUGCUUCUUAGGAUUUCCCACUUAAAAGAGUCUUACGUUGUUCAGACAGUAACCCUUUAACAUUUAACAAAGACAAGUAUGGUGGAUCCCCAUGCUACUACCACCCCAGCCUCAACCAUUUGUCAUUCCUGUUUCAUCUAUCCUCCCUCCCAGAACCUUUAUGUUAAGAGUGCUUGCUAUUCUUGCAGAGGACCUGGGUUCAGUUCUCAGCUCCCACAUGACAGCACACAACCAUCUGUAACUCUAGUUCCAGGGGGCAGGACGCUCUUUUCUGCUCCAAGGGAUCCUCCACAUAUGUGGGGCACAUAAACUCAAACAAAUUUACACACAUACGCGUAAAAAUGAAAUUAUAAUGUCUAUCUAGAGUUGGCUUGUGCAAAUGAAGUUAGAUCAAUGCUGUUUAACUGACUUCCAUAGGCCCACUUCCCUUGGUGCCAGAUGUUGAAGAAACCUAAGUCUUGUCUGUAUAACUGCCUACUUUGUAAGUCUGCCAACUAUAGGGAUUUUUAAUUUGUUCCUAAAGCUACCAGUUUUACACUGGGGAGACUUAACUUUUAUUUUUGCAGAAUUCUUCACAAUUCUAAAUUCAAACCUGACUCCAAGGUCACUAUGAAAGUAUGUUCAUUAAAAGAGUAAAACCAUUUAUUGGUCAUGAAUAUGUAACCUGGAGAUAAUUGGUAAGCCUUAGUUUAUACUCUAGUGGUAACCUACCAAUCACUACUGGCUUGAGGGAAAAAAAAAA